rnacentral:rRNA from 1 species
CCUACGGGUGGCAGCAGUAGGGAAUUUUUCGCAAUGGGGGAAACCCUGACGCAGCAACACCGCGUGGAUGUUAAGCCCUUCGGGGUGUAAAGUUCUGUCAAUAGGGACGAAUUUUGACUGUACUUAUAAAGGAAGCACCGUCUAACUCCGUGCCCGCAGCCGCGGUAAUACGGCGGGUGGAAGCUUUGUCCGGCAUCUUUGGGCGUAAAGCGUUCGUAGGCGGUAUGUCACGUCUGAUGGUAAAACCAGGGGCUCAACUCCGGUUCCGCAUUGGAUACUGGCAAACUAGAGUGUGGUAGAGGUAAAGGGAAUUCCUGGUGGAGCGGUGAAAUGAGUAGAUAGCAGGAGGAACAUCGGUGGCGAAAGCGCUUUACUGGACCAUUAUUGACGCUGAGGAACGAAAGCCAGGGGAGCAAAUGGGAUUAGAUACCCUGGUAGGC